rnacentral:rRNA from 1 species
CAGCCGCCGCGGUAAUACGUAGGGAGCAAGCGUUGUUCGGAAUCAUUGGGCGUAAAGAGCGCGUAGGUGGUCUGAUAAGUCUGGUGUGAAAGCCCACAGCUCAACUGUGGAACUGCAUCAGAAACUGCCAGACUUGAGUGCGGGAGAGGAGAGUGGAAUUCCCAGUGUAGAGGUGAAAUUCGUAGAUAUUGGGAGGAACACCGGUGGCGAAGGCGGCUCUCUGGACCGCAACUGACACUGAGGCGCGAAAGCUAGGGGAGCGAACGGGAUUAGAUACCCCGGUAGUCCUAGCCGUAAACGAUGGGCACUAGGUGUGGGGGGUAUUGACCCCUUCCGUGCCGCAGCUAACGCAUUAAGUGCCCCGCCUGGGGAGUACGGUCGCAAGACUAAAACUCAAAGGAAUUGACGGGGGCCCGCACAAGCGGUGGAGCAUGUGGUUUAAUUCGACGCAACGCGAAGAACCUUGCCUGGGUUUGACAUCCCUUGACAACAGCAGAGAUGCUGCUUUCCUUCGGGACAAGGAGACAGGUGCUGCAUGGCUGUCGUCAGCUCGUGUCGUGAGAUGUUGGGUUAAGUCCCGCAACGAGCGCAACCCAUGCCCUUAGUUGCCAGCGAGUAAUGUCGGGAACUCUAAGGGAACUGCCGGUGACAAACCGGAGGAAGGUGUGGAUGACGUCAAGUCCUCAUGGCCCUUAUGCCCAGGGCUACACACGUGCUACAAUGGCCGAUACAGAGGGUCGCAAUACCGUGAGGUGGAGCCAAUCCCAAAAAGUCGGUCUCAGUUCAGAUUGCAGGCUGCAACCCGCCUGCAUGAAGGUGGAAUCGCUAGUAAUCCCGGAUCAGCA